AGAAGGGCAGUGCCAAAGAAUGGGGGUCAUCCAUUGCACUUCGGGUGUGCUGAUCCCUAUGAUUUCCCCUAAUGUGGGAAACUUAACUGCGUAAUUUGUGAUAGUGGGGGACUGUGUUUGUACUUUCCUAUG
rnacentral:snRNA from 1 species